GACGAACGCUGGCGGCGUGCUUAACACAUGCAAGUCGAACGGAAAGGCCCUGCUUUUGUGGGGUGCUCGAGUGGCGAACGGUUGAUUAACACGUGAGUAACCUGCCCUUGACUUUGGGAUAACUUCAGGAAACUGGGGCUAAUACCGGAUAGGAGCUCCUGCUGAAUGGUGGGGGUUGGAAAGUUUCGGCGGUUGGGGAUGGACUCGCGGCUUAUCAGCUUGUUGGUGGGGUAGUGGCUUACCAAGGCUUUGACGGGUAGCCGGCCUGAGAGGGUGACAGGCCACAUUGGGACUGAGAUACGGCCCAGACUCAUACGGGAGGCAGAAGUGGGGAAUAUUGAAUAAUGGGCGGAAGCCUGAUGCAGCAACGCCGAGUGCGGGAUGACGGCCUUCGGGUUGUAAACCGCUUUCGCCUGUGACGAAGCGUGAGUGACGGUAAUGGGUAAAGAAGCACCGGCUAACUACGUG
rnacentral:rRNA from 1 species